UGGGGAAUAUUGCACAAUGGGCGCAAGCCUGAUGCAGCCAUGCCGCGUGUAUGAAGAAGGCCUUCGGGUUGUAAAGUACUUUCAGCGGGGAGGAAGGGAGUAAAGUUAAUACCUUUGCUCAUUGACGUUACCCGCAGAAGAAGCACCGGCUAACUCCGUGCCAGCAGCCGCGGUAAUACGGAGGGUGCAAGCGUUAAUCGGAAUUACUGGGCGUAAAGCGCACGCAGGCGGUUUGUUAAGUCAGAUGUGAAAUCCCCGGGCUCAACCUGGGAACUGCAUCUGAUACUGGCAAGCUUGAGUCUAGUAGAGGGGGGUAGAAUUCCAGGUGUAGCGGUGAAAUGCGUAGAGAUCUGGAGGAAUACCGGUGGCGAAGGCGGCCCCCUGGACGAAGACUGACGCUCAGGUGCGAAAGCGUGGGGAGCAAACA
rnacentral:rRNA from 1 species